rnacentral:rRNA from 1 species
UACAGAGGUCCCAAGCGUUGUUCGGAUUCAUUGGGCGUAAAGGGUGCGUAGGCGGCCCGGUAAGUCCGCUCUGAAAGUCCAGGGCUCAACCCUGGAAAGCGGGUGGAUACUGCCGGGCUAGAGUCCGGGAGAGGUGAGUGGAACUGCGAGUGUAGAGGUGAAAUUCGUAGAUAUUCGCAAGAACACCAGUGGCGAAGGCGGCUCACUGGCCCGGUACUGACGCUGAGGCACGAAAGCGUGGGGAGCAAACAGG